rnacentral:rRNA from 1 species
UGGGGAAUAUUGGACAAUGGGCGAAAGCCUGAUCCAGCCAUGCCGCAUGAGUGAAGAAGGCCUUUGGGUUGUAAAGCUCUUUUAGUGAGGAAGAUAAUGAAGGUACUCACAGAAGAAGUCCUGGCUAACUCCGUGCCAGCAGCCGCGGUAAUACGGAGAGGGCUAGCGUUAUUCGGAAUUAUUGGGCGUAAAGGGCGCGUAGGCUGGUUAGUAAGUUAAAAGUGAAAUCCCGAGGCUUAACCUUGGAACUGCUUUUAAAACUGCUAACCUAGAGAUUGAAAGAGGAUAGAGGAAUUCCUAGUGUAGAGGUGAAAUUCGUAAAUAUUAGGAGGAACACCAGUGGCGAAGGCGUCUAUCUGGUUCAAAUCUGACGCUGAGGCGCGAAGGCGUGGGGAGCAAACA